rnacentral:rRNA from 1 species
AACGAACGCUGGCGGCAUGCCUAACACAUGCAAGUCGAACGAGACCUUCGGGUCUAGUGGCGCACGGGUGCGUAACGCGUGGGAACCUGCCCUUAGGUUCGGAAUAACUCCCCGAAAGGGGUGCUAAUACCGGAUAAUGUCUUCGGACCAAAGAUUUAUCGCCUUUGGAUGGGCCCGCGUUGGAUUAGCUAGUUGGUAGGGUAAAAGCCUACCAAGGCGACGAUGCAUAGCUGGUCUGAGAGGAUGAUCAGCCACACUGGGACUGAGACACGGCCCAGACUCCUACGGGAGGCAGGAGUGGGGAAUAUUGGACAAUGGGGGAAAGCCUGAUCGAGCAAGGCCGGGUGAGUGAUGAAGGCCGUAGGGUUGUAAAGCUCUUGUACCCGGGAUGAUAAUGACAGUACCGGGAGAAUAAGCUCCGGCUAACUCCGUG